rnacentral:rRNA from 1 species
UACGUAGGUGGCGAGCGUUGUCCGGAUUUACUGGGCGUAAAGGGAGCGUAGGCGGACUUUUAAGUGAGAUGUGAAAUACCCGGGCUCAACUUGGGUGCUGCAUUUCAAACUGGAAGUCUAGAGUGCAGGAGAGGAGAAUGGAAUUCCUAGUGUAGCGGUGAAAUGCGUAGAUAUUAGGAGGAACACCAGUUGCGAAGGCGGCUCUCUGGACUGUAACUGACACUGAGGCACGAAAGCGUGGGGAGCAAACAGGAUUAGAUACCCCCGUA